GAUGAACGCUAGCUACAGGCUUAACACAUGCAAGUCGAGGGGAAACGAUAUUGGAAGCUUGCUUCCGAUAGGCGUCGACCGGCGCACGGGUGAGUAACGCGUAUCCAACCUGCCCAUCACUUGGGGAUAACCUUGCGAAAGUAAGACUAAUACCCAAUGAUAUCCGUCGAAGACAUCUGAAGUGGAUUAAAGAUUCAUCGAUGAUGGAUGGGGAUGCGUCUGAUUAGCUUGUUGGCGGGGUAACGGCCCACCAAGGAAACGAUCAGUAGGGGUUCUGAGAGGAAGGUCCCCCACAUUGGGACUGAGACACGGUCCAAACUCCUACGGGAGGCAGCAGUGAGGAAUAUUGGUCAAUGGACGAGAGUCUGAACCAGCCAAGUAGCGUGCAGGAUGACGGCCCUAUGGGUUGUAAACUGCUUUUAUAAGGGAAUAAAGUGGGAGUCGUGACUCCUUUUGCAUGUACCUUAUGAAUAAGGACCGGCUAAUUCCGUGCCAGCAGCCGCCGUAA
rnacentral:rRNA from 1 species